AGCACUUUGUGAUGGAAGAGAAGGCGGGGUAGAGAAGAACAAACACUGGCAGGUUCUAAACUACCUGCUACCUCCCGGCUACACCAGAACCUGGGAAGCAUCCAUCUCUUGCUCGGAAGUGCCACAAAAGCGCUGGUGAGCCUUUGAUGGCAGCAGCGAAUGACCCGGGCGCCUUCCUCCCACAUGUUCAAACUGGGAAGAAAAUUUGGGAGAAUCGAAGGUUCUCAUCUCUGUAAACAACCCGAACCCAUCGACCGAAAUUGCCCAUCUCCAUCCAGACACAUGAACUUCUCCUUCUUCUGCUCCUUCCCGCUCUCUCCCUUUCGUGUUUGCCAUUACCCUGCUCCGGUUAUUGCCCACAUCUGGAGUAUGGCAGCUGUCCUGUAAUGUGCAAGCUGCGGUAUGUAAUUUGGAGAACUCGAAUACAAAUAUCUGUUAAUUAAAAAAAAAUACAGAAGCGUGUUUGUCAGCUUGUAAUUAUGUAAAGAGGAGCACAAACUCCCAAACUAAUUUAAAAAACGAAAAUAACUUUACCAGCGGCUUUACAAAAGAUUCCACGGCUCUAGAUGUGGCCACUAACUUUCUUCAGAGUAUGCGAAGUCCUUGCAGAUGCCUAGGAAGUGUCUUUGGGGGUAAUGGGCUGGGUUAGGAGCGUAAGUAGGAAAAUGAGACUGGGGCGGCAGGUUUGUGACCUGAUUCUCUUAUAUACCUUCUUAACCUAGGAGUGCCAUAGGACUUUCCCAGCCAAAGCACUGUUGACACGGCUGGAUAAUUUCAUGAAAAGUGGGGGAGAGGUGGCCUACGUGGUCUCUUCCAUUACUUGUCACUAGUACCCUCUCCCUCCUUAGUUAUGACACACAAAAAUGCCUCAAGGGGCUAAGUCACCUCCAGAGGAGAACCCCUGUCAUUUUUAUUUGCUGUGAAAUAUGCAUGGGUGUAAGUAGACAUUUUCUCAUUCCGAGUUCAUAACCCUAGCUCUGGGUACUGGCUUUUUUUUCCCCUGUUUGUCUCCUCAUCGUCCACACGGAUGUGACAAGUCCCAGGAUGACGUUUCACAGGGCUCCCAUGAAGAUCAAAAGAGAUGUGGAGGAUUUUUCAAGCUCAGAAAAGGACGUUUGGAAGGCGCAGUUUUGUUAUGGUUAUUGUUGCAAGAUGGCCCCUGACGUGCAAGGCCGCUCUGGUUCCUGGAAGGCAGCCUGGCAACUUUGACCUUGGAAGCACAGUCCUCUCUAACUCCCUGGACAAGCGGGCAGAACUACCUUUGCACAUGGCCAAAGAGCACAGUGCAAAGGCACGCUGCAGAGGGAAAGCUAAGGCAGAGGAAAUAUGCUACAGACACAAAAGACAAGGCUGGAUGAGGGGCUCAGCCUUCCCUCCAGGAACAUGGGGUCUCCAAGCUACUCUGCUACUGUUCACUUCUAUAAAAUCCAGGCUCACAUUUCAGAACUUCUUUUCUAGCCUUUUUUACUGCAUCCAAAUUUCACAUUCUAUCCAAAAAUACAAAUUAUUACUAUUAUUUAUUUUUAUUACUUAUAAAUAAAAAAGUUUAGGGGCUAAACAGAUGGCUGAUCAGUUAGGAGCACUGACUGCACUUCAUGAGGGCCUGGAUUUGGUUCCCAGCUCCACAUGGUGGCUUACAACCAUCUGGAACUCCAGUUCUAGGAGAUCUCCAUGCCCUCUUCUGGCUUCUUUGGGUACCAGGUACACCUGUGGAAACAUAUCUAUAGGCAGGCAAGACACCUAUGUGUAUAAAACUAAUACAAUAAAAUAGUAUUUUUAUGAAAAAGUAAAGAAGUUAGUUGUCUGGGAAGGCAGGUGAUGGAGAAGAUAACUUCCCAAUAAUCUUUUAGCUCUAGAAUUCUGAGGUUUCAAGACAGACUCUGUCCCUAACUAAUUAGAUUUUGAUGCUCAUCAUUCAUUACUAAUCACAGCUAUCACUUCCUGAAGACUCUUCUAUCCAGAACAUAAGUUGAUCACUUCCUGUGGGUUAUCUCAAUCUUCCCCCACAGUUCUCUAACAUAUGUAUGAACCCAUUUUACCGAUGAGAAAGCUGAGGCACACAUAGCUAUGUAACCUGCCUCAGAGCAAAUCGGACAGCAUGUCAGAAAGACAGAAAAAGGGAAAGAUUUGAGGUUUGUCUCUAGACUCAGAUGUUCCAGAGCCAGGGAGAGCAGCCCCACGGCACCAGUGUGUCCUAAAGCCUUUGGGUUGCUAUUAAGGAGAGACAGAGCUCACCUAUUAGGUGAACCCUUGGGUCUGACCCCUGCUCCACAGGAACUCAGCCUCAAGUGUGAAGCCAAGAGGUUUAUGACAAUUUGGGAGAUUCCCACAGUGUGGACAAUAAAAAAUAAAGACAGGCAGGCGAAGCUGACGGCUGAGUGUUGCACAUACAAUCAAUACACCCAAGAUAACAAUUUCUGCAGAAGAGCGACUCGCUUACUCUCAGGUCCCCAGGAGACACACACCGCUCUGACAGUCACAGAAAUCCUGACUUGAUAUGGAUCUUUCGUCUCCAGCCUGCUUCCCAGUCUUUUCAUUUUAUAUUAUUAAAUAUUAAACCCUGGGAACAGGUUCAUUUGGCUGUUACCAUGCUGUCAGUCAGAUUACCCUUGUCUAAGCACUUCAAGUGGCGUGGGCUUCACUUGCUUCCCUUGGCAACCAGUGCAAGCUCCAAAUCCUACUGUAGGAUGAAACAAGGUCCUACCAGAGUAGAGUGGGCCAGGACUCCUAAAUCCCCUUUUCAGGUCCUGGCAUUGGCUCUGCGAUUAUGUCCCUCCAAGUCAAAUUGUUUCCUUUGAAAGCAAACAGGCUAGUCAUGCUAUUAAGAUUAUCCCUACGUCAAAUUUAAGGUCUAUUGCAAUGGUUUUGAAAAUUCUCAAAUUCUGAAAGGUGAGCCCUAUCCACUCAAGACUAGUGUGCGAAUUUCAUACACUAUACAUCUCGGCUCCUGCCUUGAUACCCAGAAUCCACCCAAUUCUUCCUCCCUUCCCCCUAUCAUUUGCCGUUUCUCUGGAAUUGCUCAUUAUUUCCUAAUAUUGAAUAUCCAGAGAGAAAAAAAAACAUAAUUAGACCAGCAUGAUACAUGGGGAAAUAAUGUAUUCUGAAGUCAAAAGGAAAUAAGAUCAUUGAGCCUGCUGAUGCUUUGAUGGCCCAGGGCUUGGUCCUCUCCAAUAGCAAAGAUAACGGAAACUUGGGGAGACCGGAAGGAAGCAUAAUUGUAGCGAUGCAUCCAGCAGUGGAUGACUUCAGUGCUUUUAUUUCAAAAUGGUUCUAAGUCUCAGCACUCCAGGACCCCACGGUGAAAGACAAGGAAUGACCGAGUAUUAGAAUCCAGUAACCAUUGUUCAAGCAGAACAAUGGACCUGGAACUGUUUCCUCCCAGUGACUUUGACCUAGCCAUCGAUGUGCUGCCACUUAAGGGUUGAGUGCUAAUAUUCAAAAGUAAAAUUUAUGAUGUGUGAACACUCAAAUCAUCCCCCUGAAUAAUCAAUAUAGUUGACCGGCCCAAGUAGGUUUGUUGACAUUGGGAAAUAAAUUAACUAAAUUAAAGCAUCUUAAUCAAGUGUGUUUAUCAUUUUGCCAGGGAAUUUAAUGAAGACAGUCUCCUGCUAGAUCUCUGCUACCUGCAGUGAGACCCACCCUGAAGCACAUUUAUGGUCUAUGCUGUCAUUCCUGUGGCCUGGGCAAAAUUAUUCACCUUUUCUCAACUCCUAGAAUCCAGAUGUUGAGUGGGGAGAGCAACACUUUUUUCACAUCUGGCAGAGGGUGAUACAUUUUAAUGAGGGUUGGAAAGGACUUUGAACAUGAAGGGCUUAUAUUACUAUUGCUCUCCAAUGCCCUAGACAGUCUAACAAAAUGGUAUCUUAAUCUGUGUCAUGGCUAAUUCAUUUUGGAAUCGAGCCUACUGUAUACAGAUUUCAGUGUGUGUGUGUGUGGGGGGGUCACGGUGAAGAUAUCUUUGCCUUGGGGCAAAUAUUGACCUCCUGAGCAUCAAUAUUUAUUUUUUGAGUCAAUAAAUCUGUGUUGACCUUGAUAAAAAGUCAACAUUUCCACCAAAUCUCAAGGUCUUCCUCAUCUGUACAGCCUGAUACUGAGUCUGCUACUUAACUCCGUUCUAAUAAAUCCUUAUUUACAGGAGUUAUGACACAGCUGUUGGUAGGUCCUCAGGGGUGAAGAGUGUAUCCCUAGGCAUUGGUAUAGAACUGCUGAAGUGAGACUAUCAUGGUGUUUCUAAGAAAACUCUGCUCCCUAUGUUCUUAUCCUUUUCCCCUCAGGAAGUGGCUUUCUUGAAGGCAUGUUUUCUACUUACCAUAUCAUAAAAUGCCAAGUAGGUAAACUGCUAAUAGCUGUCAAAUUGGACAGAGUCAAGAAAGGUGUACUGCCCAACUUUGUGUUUGUAGAAAUAGGACAUUGAACCCUAAUCACUGAAUCCUGGGAUCAUCAGUAAUGUUCCUCAUAGCUACACCACGCAUGGCUCCAAACCACAAAUGUCAAAUGGUUCUUCUGGCUUAAAGGAAGAUUCUAUCCCUCGACAAUCAUCUGUUGAUUGAAUGGUUAUUGAAAAACUACUGUCUCUCUGAUUUUGAAGUGCAUCGUUUUCUCUGUGUACAAGUGAAAUUCUUUUCUCUCUAGAAUCCUAUCAGAGUCCAACAAACUUGCUAAGAGUUGAGAAUCUAAAGAGGCAUAGUCAGGCUCCCAGUACUAAGUGAACCCUCUCCAUUAGGUGUACACAGUUAAGUGGUAUCUUUAUUUUUCUAUAUCUCUACACAUGUAAAAUGUUAUGCAUAGGCUAUUUUCAUAUGCACAAGGGCAGAUUUAGGAAAUGGCCCGUGGGAGUCAUUUCCAACCAUCUGCAAACAUAUUACAGGAAACACAUCUAUUAUGGCUACCAGAGGCCAGUCCGGGAAGUCGUAUAGUUUGAAGGCAUAAGAAACUUGUACCCAAUAGUGGGAACUACCCACACCAGGGCACAUAUGGGGAAGAAAAGGGACAAGGACAAUUGGGAAAUGCCAAAUCAAUAGCACAGCUGCUGUGUUCAUCAUGUUUUGUCUUUGGGGUUUGAAUUUAAUUGCCCUCCAUAUAGAUUCUAGUAGAAAGAAUGGUUCAUCACAAAACAUUUUGCUUGUUGCACAGAUAAACAGAUUUCUAGAAUAAAUGUAUGUAAAACUCAAAACGCUGUCCAGCAUGCCUUUAUGAUAAAUGAGACUUUUUAUGCAUUUCCCAUUGAUUUAUCUGCUUUUAAUGGGUCCAUUUGCAAGCAGCAGUGUAUCCAAACUCUCAAAGAUGGUGUGUGUGUGUGUGUGUGUGUGUGUGUGUGUGUGUGUGUGUGCACGCACACGCUUCUGUUGGGUGAUGGAUGGUAAAGAGAAUGCUGGCACUUUAUUUAUUUCAGGAAACUGUUAGAAGGCUGACUCUCUCCAACAACUUCCUAUUAUUUUAUCAACACUAUCAGCAACCCAAGCCAUAAAAACCUAUUUUUCAUUUGCUUAGAUAUUUCCAAACAGUUUGGGGAAAAAAAAACCCAUACACUGGUAAGAUGAAAAGAAAGGGGUUAGUUCUAGAGUGACACUUGAGUUGGGGCCACUCUGUCUGAACUUUGGCCUCACAGUCAGCUUUCUGUGCACAUUUUGUAAGGCACUGUGGGCUGUACCCUUUCCAUCCCACAGCCAGCUCAGCAGUUCCAGCUCAGGACUGUUGGCAGCUAGCUGCCUGGAACUACUAUUCCAAUCAAAUUCAUCUUGAUGACUUAGAUUAAUUGGGCUUCAGGAGUUUCGUUCUGUUCUGGUCCUUUGACCCAAAGCCUUGAGAUCCCAAGCAAUGAGUGAUCUGACAGUGAGGAACUUAAAUAUACCCACAGGACUCCUUUAAAAGACUAGGCUCGCCUUAGUCCUUGGCUGGAUUUCUGAAGACAACAAGCAAAAAAAGAGCAAAAACAGACAAACAAACUGACAGAAACUUCUUUUAACAGUUCACCCUGGCCUACAGGGGGCCGUUAGAUGUUAGCUACCCUGUUUUGUAGAGACUUGUUUGUUUCUGUUUUACUCACUUCAGUUUUAAUCAAGGAGAAUUUGCCUUUUAUUUACUUCUAAAAAAACAAGUUAAAUUCUCUUUCUGUUUCUCUUCUGAGUCCAGCUAAGGUUUUCUUAUAGGCUCUGCCUCCUUAGUGGCACCAAAGACUUCCAAGCAACAUCAUUCAUUCAUCCAUUCAUUCUUUCAGAAAUCAUCUAUUCAUUAAGAAUUAGUUAUUUGCUAACCUCACAGCCAGAAAGUUGGGGGUUGAAGAAUGGCCCCUGGUCAAUCCCAUGCAGAAUAAAUAUAGAAACUGGCUUCAAAAAGCAGGCCUCUGCCAACCUGAGUGGUUAACUCUCUUGAUAGUAGGAAGUCAAGAAUGGUUUAAGGCUAUGAGAGUGGAUAUAGUAGUAGGAAAGGUAUAGAUUUGAGAGAAGUCCCAAGUGGUGGCAGUGGCAGUGGCAGUGGCAAUGUCACCUGUGAUAGAACUUCAGAAUUCUAGAAAGUUUAGAAAUAGCAAGAGGUAUGACCCAACACUUUUUGCCAGGGGACAAAAAGCAGCUGGGUAUUGAUGAAGUCAUUGUCUUCUUCAGACAAGAAGAAUGAGAAAGAUUUCUGAGAUACCCACAGGAGAGAUAGUAAGACAAUGGUUGACUAUGAGAUUGGCAUCUCUGGAGUGAUCUGGAACUAAUGAUAAAGUUUAGGAUUUUGUGAAGUUAGAGUGAUUGUUGGAAGGGUAAAGGGAUGCCUUGACUGUCGGAUAAAAAGGCUCACAAUCAGGAAGACAAGAAUGGCUGGCUGCUAGAGUCAUGGUGGCCAAUGGCAUUACUCAAGUGCGAUGUGAAGAGCGAAGAGAAGUAUUUUAAGAGAAAACCACAAAAAAAGACAAAAUACCUUUUAGAAGUAUAUUCAUUAGGAAUGUUCAGAUAAAUGGAACCUGCUGUGUGUGUGUGUAUGUGUGUGUGUGUGUGUGUGUGUGUAUUUGUGCGUGCGCCUGCCCCCCUUGUAUGUGUGUAUAUGUGUGUGUCUAUGUAUCUCUCUCUCUCUCUCUCUCUGUGUGUGUGUGUGUGUGUGUGUGUGUGUGUAUGUGUGUGUGUCUAAGACAGCAAGGUAUAUAAGAUAGAUUGGCAAGUAUAUCAGUAGAUGGGUAGAUAGAUGAUAGGUACACAGACGGCACACACAGACAGACAGACAGACAGACAGACAGACAGAUAGAUGAUAGAUAAAAGUUAGAGAUUUAUUGUAAAGAAUUGGCUUAUAAGUGCUCAUAGAGGCUAAAGUACCAAAACCCUGCAUAGACAGACACUAAAGUCAAGAGAACUAACUGCACCAUCAGCUCUAAGCCUUAAGUUGAACCCUCAAAAGAACUGAUAUUUACAGCCAAUGAAAACCUCUAGUUCAUUCUUCCUGCUGACUGAGGGCAAGGAAGGACUGAGGGAAAGGGCUGAGUCUCCCACUCAAGCCUUCACCUGUUUGGAUUUAUCUCGUCCACACUGGGAAGGUGAUCUCCUCCAGUCUACUGAUUCAAACGGUCAAUCUCAUCCAGAAAUAGCUUCACUGAGAUACCAAUGAAAGUCUGUCUAGAUAUCUAUGGCCCAUUCGAGUCCACACAUAAAAGAAAGCACUGGCAGAGGAUAAAGAAGAUAUGCAGAAGGCAAUUAACAACAAGUAAACAAUAGAAGAAAGGUCUCACUUGUGUGGAUAACCAUCUAAACCAUCAUAUACACCCUUUCCUAGAGAGGGUUUUUACGUUUGUGUGCUGUUGUCUAUGUGUUUUAACAUGAUGAGUCAGAUCAGCUAUGAGAGAGCCCCUACAGGAGGCACUGUGGGUGUGUUCACAGGUGAACUGUCUUAUACCAUCAAGUUUGAUGAAAAAGUUAGGCAAGUCCACUUACAAACUGGGUGAGAGAGUUGACACGCCUUUCCAGUAGGAAUAAAGAUGGGUAAGUGCUGAUUAUGGCCACAGUCUCAGGAAACUUGUCUAUGUGCCCUUGUUAAAUGCAGUCACUUAUAAGGCCAGGGGAGAAGGAUCCACUGAAUCAGGAGAUAGGAAGUAGAAGAGAAUCCUACAGAUGCUCAUAUGAAGUCAGAUGGAUGCUAUCUCAGUGGAGAGCCAGGCCACAGAAACUCAUUUAGGAUCUGGCUUCCUUCCCCUAGGAAUAUGCCAGUACUCCCAGCUUUCUUCACAUUUGAUCAAUGUUCACUAUCACACAGCUAUUCUUUCUUAAUCAUAUUCCCAGCUGUCUCUUGAUUUCAUAUUUUUAACUUUUCAUUGAUUCUUGGUGAAUUUCACAUCAUGUACCCCAAUUCCACUUAUCUCCCCAUCCCUCCAUAUCUAUCCUCCGUCCUUGCAACCCUCCCACAAAAGAAAACAAAAACUAAAAAUAGAAACUGUCUUGAUGUGUAAGGUACUGUGUGUCACAGUGUGCCAUAGAAUAUACCCAUUGCCCAAACAUCUUUACUUGCAAAGGUUCAUUGCAGUGAAUCAUUGGUCUGGUUCAAGGCCUCUAGUUUCUACUAUAGCACCAAUACUGAAUCCUCCCUGGGACUAUUCUUGGAUUUCCUGUUGUCGUGUGUCGUGGAGAUCAGCAGCUUUGGCUCUGCAGGACCAGCCCCUUCACAAGAUCCAACAGUUCAUAGAUAGGGUCAAUGUUUGGUUAGGCCAACUCAAAGCCUUGAAUCUGAGCCUGGGUGGUAGCCAAGUGGUCAGCACACCAGCUUUCCUGCCCCUGUGCAGCUAGGGCCAGCUCUCCUCCUUUACCUAGGCAAGGGACAGGGCCAGCUCUCCUGCCCACUACAGCUGGCAAGGGUGUGAGGAACGGCUCUCCCAAGCUUAUGCCGUGAGGGUCAGCUCUCCUGUACUACCCCAGUGAGAAUGAGUGGCAAGAUCAUUUCCGUGCAACCCUAGGACAUCAACAUAGUCCCAGGCUGCAUCCCAGACUAGAGACAUCUGCAUGACCUUUGGUAGUAACAUGUGUCAUGAACAUAGACACAGACCCCAUUGCUACAGGGCCACAGAUCCACACAUGGCCCUCUGUGACAGCAUGAACUGGGAUAUCACCAUGAUCUUAGGUGGCAGUCUAAACUUCUCACAUCACACUGUUCCUCAUACCCUCACAUCUCCAAUUCCACCUCUCUUCACAGUUUGCAAGCGCUUCUACUUCUCUUUCUCUCCCAUCUCCACACCACAUGCUUGUUCAUCAUAGUGGUACCUGCCUACCUACUCCGUGAGAGACAGGUAGGCCUCUGGGUAUCAUCUGCCUUUCCAUGCCGGCUGGCAGGCCUCAUUAUUACUUUGUUGUUGUUGUUGUUGUUGUUGUUGUUGUUGUUCUUGUUCUUGUUCUUGUUCUUGUUCUUGUUGUUUUAAUCUGAAAUCACAGCCACUAGAAGGAGUGAGUUAGCAUUUACUGAGUGCCUGGCACCAUGUUCUCAACACACUGUUUCCUGCCAGCUGGCCUUUGAGGCGCACCAACAAAAGCGCAAUGUCAAAUCCCAUUGGAUCACAAAAAGCUGCCAGACUUGGGUAACAGUAGAAGGUCCCCAGUCUUCAUUUACAUUAGACACUGCAAAGUCACCCACAAAUGAACACUACUGCUGCUGAGUAGGAGAGCAGCCCCAGGGAUACACGACACUGCCCAUUGAACAAAGAAUGAAUCUGAAAUUCUAUGAGAUGUUUUUCGGGAAAGCAGUAAUAGUUGAAACCAAACCCAGGUCUCCAAACAUUGAUCCAAAGAUAGCCAGUUCUUUACUUACAUGAUCUCAUGGACACAGAUAGCUCAAGGUAGUUUGGCUACCUUCCUGUCCUGACAAAAGUCCGUAGUACUCAGCCAGAAGUCUCCUGCUCACACCAGAGCCAAGAGGGUUUUCUGUCUCUUAGAGACUUCCUUCAUCCAAUAACUUAUGAAAUUGUCAAUGGGCUGGGCAUUUUUUUGCCUGAGCUCCUCUUUAGGCUGGGAAAUCACAAGCUAGAGGGUCUAUUCUCCAGUAUUCUAAGCAUCAGAUAGGCUCACUCUGAGUUCUCACCUUCCCUUGGCAACCUUUUUGGAAAAAUAAAUAAAUAUAUAUAUUAAUAUUUCAUGAUCUCUGAUUUAAAACCACAUGUGCAACCUCUGAACAUUUCAAUUUGCAAAUUGUAUAAGUAAGAUAACAUCCUGAAGAUGGGAUGGAAUCAUCGAUUAGCAAUGUUCCUUAAAACAGAUGGAUACACAGUGGCGAGCAGUUUUCACAACCCAAGCCAUGGGUGAUUCUAAGCAGCAGGACCAUUGCAGGAAGAAGAAAGAUGAGCUGCCCAGCUCCACAAUAAGCAUGAGGAACUUUGGUCCUCACUCUGCCUUCAUGAGGCAGAGCUCUGUGAAUCCAUUAGUCAGUGUUCGUUUGACAUGUGCCCUAGGCACAAAAAAGUUUCAACUAAAGCUCUGUAGGGACAUCCCACAGAAGGGUGAUUCUGAUUCAUUGUAUGAAGAUUGUGUGGGCUAGAAAAAGCGUUAGGUAGAAUGCUUGCUUGAUGCACAAAGCCCUAGGUUUAGCCCCUAGCACCACCAAGAAGCAGACACUGACAUCACAAGUAUUGUCUGUUCAUGUCAAGAACAAACCUGUGAGACAGGCAUAUGAGUACAAAUUCUUACAGCACUGAAUGCUGGUCCUGGGCCUGUUUUUCUGUCUUUGUGUCACCUAGAGGGUGACAACUAGAAGUGCCUGGCAGCAGUUGUAAAAAGUGCUUGUAGAUCCUUGGUGAGAGGUCAUUGGACCAGAACAAUGCUUUGUGAUUUCUUAUUAUAUUUAAUGGAAAAUUGAAGCACUUGGAUAUUUCCAAAGUGUAAUUUGUUCUGAUGGGUAGGCCGACAGUGGAUUGGGCUGCUUCGCCAGGGAAGAGGCAAAAAAUAAAUUAAACAAAUUAAUGACUGUGACGCAUUCCAGGGGAAAGAAAAUGCAGUUGAUAAUCCACCCCCACUCUGGUCCCGAACAAAAAUCAUCAUUUUUAUUGCAGUCACAUCUCCUUGGGCUGCUGCUUCUUGUGAGUAUUUUUAAAGAAAACUUCCCCUCCAGUCGUUUUCUUUAGCCCAAUAAGCACAGUUGCUAAUUUUCUCUCAUUUGGAGAUUUCCCCCCUGGAACCAUAUGCCAUUAAAAUGCUUAGACAUGUGGAAAUGGGCUGAUGAAGAUAUGAGGAGACAGGGAGUUUCAGAUGAGCAGAGACUUUGUCAGACGGAUGACUCUGACAUCAGAUUCUCUAACUGAAAGAGAAAGAUCCUGCCACCUCUGGAAGGGGCAGUGAGGGAGGGGAUUGCAGUCAAUCUCUGGGAUGGUCCAGCAGUCAGAGAGAGAUGGAGGGAGGAUGAGCUCGUGUCCCCAUGGACCAUUCCAUACCUUGCUUUUAACAAGUGCACAUAUGGAUCGAGUGAGCAAAUGAAUGAGUGAGUGAACAAGAUGGACAAGUGACUACAGCAGAAUGUAGAGAAGAGUAAGCCUGGAGGGAUGAGGAUACUCACAACUGGGGCUAUACUUAGCCCCUGAAAACAGAGGGCGAGCCUCGGUGUGCAGCAGCUGGCCUUCGAUAUGAAUUUCUGGUGGCAGUAUGGUCCCAGAGCUCCUUGGCCCUUUUUUCAUAAGGUAUUUCCCAUUUGCAUUCCCUUGGGCAGCUACUCAGUUCAUACUUCCACAGCAACACUCAAAAUAUUUGAGAAUGAUAUUUCCGUAGCUCCUACUAAUCAGAACAGGUAUCAUCUUAUAGCCCGCAGCACUGAAGCUCGGCACUGUGGUUCAGAAGAGCAGACCUGAUGGAUCCUCUCAAGAAAGCAAAGCAUUCUGGGAAUGCAUAUCACCUUUGUCUUUACCCCUAUUUAAGCAACUAACUCAGGGUUAUAGGUUAAAUCAAGUUCAUUUAGUCACUGGGCAGAGCAGCGAAUCAAUACACCCAGCCCUUCUUAGCUUUGUGUUCUACAUUCAACCAUGGCUCUACUCAUCCAAUCAUGGCUGGAAAAUGUUUCCAAGGAAACAGUUCUAUCUUAUGAAUACGUAUGGAUGUUUUCCUCUUGGUCAUUAUCCCAUAAAUAACAUAAUGUAAUGACUUCACUAGGAUUCAGUUUGUCUUAGGUACUAUCGGUAACCUAACCAUAAUUCUAAGUGUGUCUGAGGGGUUUUGUAAGCUAUAAAUGAACACUCAGAUGUCAUAUGAGAGGUAAGCAUUUUGGGAGUCCUAGAGCCAAUCUGCUACGGGUGCCUAAGAGCUGCUGAUAUAUUGACUGGGGAAUGAAUGAUGUAAAGAAGCAAUGAUUGGGAGUGAGGUGAAAUUAGAUGUGUCAGGGAAUGUUAUUGUACCCAGAUAUUAUCCUACCCAAACUCUGGGGUGACUUGCCUUCUCACUGGGGACCAGAUGAGUCUCCCCUAGGACUUCCCGGUACUGAAGAGGAAGGGCCAGUGCAGACACUGAGCCCACAGGCAUCCAGGGCACUUCCUCCAGAGCCUUCUCUGACUCUGCAAAGUCAAUCUGUUAAUGCGUUCCAGCCUCCUCCUCCUUGUCAGGGAGUCCAGUGUAUUAAUUAAAAACUGCAGGCGGCUGUAAGUAUCUCCAGAACAAGGAUUAAGCCAGCUUUCUGUCAAUUGCUUUCAACGCCAUUGCUAUCUGCUAGAGCAAUGCUUUCUUUAGGGGUUAAAGCAACUUGCUUUUCACUUUUCUAUCCCCUCCAUUAUCACAUCACCCUGCUGGCCUCUUCCCCCCCGAUUCGUGCUUUAAGUCAACUGCAAAAGGAAGACUGUGUGCAAAAGACACAGAAAUCCACUUCAGAUAGUCAUAUAUGUCCUCAAGCUAAGCUAACACGGGAGAGGCCCAGAUCCUGGUAUUUUUACCAAUCUCUCAGCUUUAGCUGUGUUAAACUAUCAGGCAAUGCUUAGGUGUGCCAAUGAUACAAGCAAGAUGGAGGCCGAGUUUUACCUUACAUAAACCAUUUUUGUUCAUGCUUCUUUUCGCUUCAGUGGCCUAAGAGUUGCUCCCUCUGUGAUAGUCACUGAGUACUCCAGGAGAGAAAGAUAUGUCACCAAAGUGGACAGAACAAGGGGAAUCCUCUGGGUGCCAGGGCAUCUACAGGAGUGGGGUCUGCCAUGGUUGACCCUCAAUCUACAAUGAGUGUUAAGAUAAACUACCUACCAGGUUCUAUGAGACCGCCUUUAAGGGCUCUGUCUGGGUUGGAAGACAACACUGUCAAUCAAGCCAUGCUAUGUAUAAGGCUUGAGGCCCAGGAUGUGGACAAGCAGGGCUAUGAACUCCAUGUCAUUCCCAGCCCAUAUAUAAGAAGGACACGGAAUGGGAGGCAGCCAUCUACAAAGGCAGGGCAUAAUUAAACAUCUCAGAGCCCCCAGACAAUUCGUAAUUUACCGAUCUCUCAUGUUAUCAGCGAUGAAUAUUAAGUAAAUCAAUAAAUUCUCCACUGAAGUGAUACUCAACAAUAAUAGCACGAAAUCAGUCUGAACUCAACUCUAAUGUGACUAUAAAAUAAAAAUGUCAAAUCCAAACCAGGCUUUACUUAUUUAUUCCUUUUUCAGGCCAAAUGGGAACGGCCUUAAAUUCCUCUCCAAUGGUGACUGUUGGUCAUUACCCACUCCAUAUCCUUCCAUGCUUACAGAAAAUUCCUACAACACCCCACAGCACCCUCAUUGUGGCAGGCCUGUGUCUUGUUGCCGUGCUGCUCAGCAGAGUAUGCUGUGGAAACAGCUCCAGCAAAGAAGGAAAGGGAAGAGAAGAGAUCUAAAUCAAGAUAGCAUAAAUAAGCCUGUGGCAGGCGGAGAAACCCAAACAUCUAAUAACACCAGGGGAAAGUCGCUGCAGAAUUUAUAUAAAAACAGUAUAUCAGAAAAGCCAUUUGAGAGACCUUGGAGAAGCAGGAAUCUCUCUCUCUCUCUCUCUCUCUCUCUCUCUCUCUCUCUCUCUCACACACACACACACACACACACACACACACACACAACACACACACAAUAUCUUGUUUACUAUUCUGUGGUUUAAGCGUGUAAGAAUUACUCUUGUGAAGAAUUGGAGGUCAAUUUGAUUAUUUGCUGGCGUCAAUCAGUCCUUUAUAUUUCACCAUUAUAGUUGUGCUCUCUGCUCUCUCUCUCUCUCUCUCUCUCUCUCUCUCUCUCUCUCUCUCUCUCUCUUAUAUCUGGCCUACCCUUAUAAUUGUCCUUUCAUAGUGACCUGUUUACACUUGCACCUUUCAUCUUCUUUAGAUUUUAUUGCCAACAUAUUUCAGUCAUGAACACAGGGUUGAGAAAACGACUCGGUCAGUAAAAUGCUUUAUCCUCCAGCCUGAGGGCUUAAGUUUGAUUCUCAGCACUUACAUUAAAACUUGGGGUAAUGGGGGUAGUAGUGUAUCCAGUUCUGGGAGGCAGUGAAAGGGAGAUCCCUGGAGCUUGCUAGCCGGGGAGUCUAGCUGAAACAGUAAGCUCGAGGUUCAGUUAGAGACUCUCUCUCAAUAUAUAAGGCAGAAACUGACAGAGAAAGACAGCCAGUGUUAACCUUGGGCGUCCACAGCAUACAGAGUUGCACACAGAGAAAAAUACACACACUUGUAAACACAUACUCACAGAUGAAAUAAGUCAUAAACAAAACCCUCAAUUUAUUUUUAAAUCCUCAUAUUUCCUUUACUUCCCCUGACCUCUGCCAGGAUAUAUAAGAUAAGUAAACAUGAAUUUGUUCUAGCUACAUUUUGCUCGUGGUUGGCCGAGUUUAAACCAUAAUUUCUUCAUUCCCUUCCCUUUCCUUUGUCAACCGCUUCUUUCUUCUGGGUAAGCUCAUUCUUCAAGACUGCAGCAGCGUAGGCACGAAUGUCCAAGGAACUUCAACCAGUCCCCAUGGCUCAAUGCAGGAGCGACUGAACCAGAAUAUGUGUGGCUAGGAGAUUUGCUUCUCCUACUGGCUGCAUUGACGCCAAUGUCCCAUCUGCCGAUGACUGAGCUGCUGUUUCAGUCAGAAUGCCUGACCAUAGAAGGCACUUAGUCAUUCUGUAAGGAAGGGGACACAAGCACAAGUUUCGCAUGGGGCCUCAGCCUCAAAUCCUAGUCUCCCUCACCUGACGACAUCCUGUUCUAAUGUCCCGUCUCAUUCCUAAACGGACCUCCAUCCAACUUCCAGCAGCAGCUGGCUCCAUGGCUUCUGAGAGGCUCGCCACUCACAGUACUCUGUAAGACACCAUUGUGCAUCUACUGUGUGUAGUGAGUCAGAUGCUACGGGCAAUAAACUGGAAAAUGUAAAACAUGCUUUCUGCCCCUCUGCAGCUUAUGUUCUCAUUAGAGAAAAUGCAGAAAUAUGAAAAUCCAUUACUGAACACCCAGAGCAUCCCUCUUGAUGCCCACCUUUGCUUUCAGUCUCAGCAGCUCUCUCCUGUUUUGACUGAAAGUAAAGGGUAUGUGUGAUUCCUCUCCUCCAAGAUGAACCUUACCGUGGGUGUUUCAUAGCCGUGGUAGGCAGCCAGCCAGCUGCUCCCAGAGAGAUGCUAACAUUUGGAUCUUGAACCUCCCUCAAAUAGCCACGUGUUAAAGGGUCAGUCUCCAAGAUAGUUUUAUUGGCAUGUGGUAGAAUCUUUGAGCAGGAGGUUUUAGGAAAGGGUCAUUGGAAGCAGACCUUUGACAGGGAUUAUGUACAUCAGAGCUCCUUCCCCAAUCACUGUUUUGACUUCUGGGUGACUUGGUAGGCAGUCUUACUCUGCCAUACCUUCCUGCUAUACUGCCCAGCACCUUCCUCAGAAGCUUAAAAGCAAUGUGUUCACCCUACCAUAGGCUGGACCUUCUAAAGCAUGAACCAAUAUAAAACUCUUCUCCUCAUAAGUUGGUUAUUACAAGUAUUUUGUUACAAUGGUAGAAAACUAACUAAUAAAGGACAAAGGGAAUUUUGCCAAUUUAAUUUGAUUCAAAACUUGUGAACAUUUCUCACUGUUACCAACACCAAGAAAUCUUUUUUUCUGACCUAGGUAUGCAUCUUCGAAUUUUCUCCUUGAGAAAAUUCUCUGGACUCCUGGCCCAUGAAUCUUUUUUUUCUAGCAGGUCUAAUAUUGGCAAUUUCCCCUCUUUUGGGAAGGUCAAUCUUUGAUCCUAAGGAGGCCUGACUUUCAAUCUCUUUUGUCACAUUUUAGGUAAAAAAAAAAAGUCUGAGUUUUGAAUACAAAUGAGAUUGAUAGAACAUCAUAGCAUGCUAGAAUUCCUAAGAUAAGCAUGCAGGCAAGACUCACGGUUUCCCACUCAAUCUUCAUUCUCUAAGAUAUGAUGGGAAAAGGGAGCGAGGGAGACAGAUAUGGUUCCCCAACCAACCUUCCUUCUAUAAGGUGAGAUGUUAAGGAAGAGGGAGAAGGGAGGGAGGAAAGAAGGGAGAGAAGAAGGGAGGGUUGGGCAAAGGGAGGGAGAGGAGAAAGUGUGUGUGGCAUGGUGGCACAGAGUAGGAGACUGGUUGGCCAGUGUCUCCAGCUGUGGCUCGCAGAAGGCUCUAUCGUCUAUGUGUAGGAGGAACAUGAAAAUGUCUUGAAAUACACCAAGCAUGAGUAAGGGCCUUAAGGCAGAAACAAGAAUGAGUGAUGAGUAGAUCAUAGUGAGGAGGCAAGCCUUGCCUGAUCUGGACCAUUUAUGAGUCAUGAAAUUGGGUGACUAAACGGGGCCAGAUUCUAAAAGACCUUAGCCGCCAAGCAAUGUAAACAAUGGAGAUCAGUGUGGUCCUUAUGGGCGUUACACACCCUUUAAUGUUUUAAAGCUGACAAAUAAUCUAAGGCUCAGGAUGGGAGUUGUGGCCAGAUGCCUUACAUUCCUCUUGGGCCUGUUGCCUGAUCUAUCUUGGACCCCAAACACACUGUCAUGCAGAUUUUCUUGGAUUCUUUAUUUUGCUUUGAAUGUACACAGUGGAGAACUCGAUGUGAGCUUGGCUGGUUGCUCUAAAGGAUGGGACUCUGUUGUGUAUGCAUCUGUUGAUGCAACUGGUACCCAGACCAUCUGUGGGUGGUUCCUGCCAUUCUUAGCAACCUUCCUCUCUUGGAGAAUGAAGGCUGCUACGUUGAGUCACUUGGUGGCCACCGAAUUUUAUUUUUGGAAUAUGUCCUAGAUACAGCAGGCUUCCCACUCACCAAGCAGAAGAAAAUGCCCUUUUAGAAGAGGAUCCCUGUUUGCCUGACAACAGCUCCGGUACAGCAGUCUCUCUCUUUUGUCAGAGGCUGAAUGGGGAGAUGCUCAGUCUUUGAUCUCUGAGCAUCCUGAGCAUCCUGUGGUGCUCCCUGUCUGAUGACCUAUACUCACCUGUCACUCCAUGGGAAGUACAUCACCACGUCAGCGCUCCAGAAGAAUCAGAAUACUAACAUUUAAGAGUUAUGAGGAACGUUAUCCAAUAAAGCCAAUAAAGGUCAUUCUGUAUUGUCUUGCUAGCUUCCUCUUUAGAAAACUCACCACUCCACAAAGAAUUCUAAGUCAUGGUGCCCAGGUAACACUGUGGAACACUAAACUUUGUAUCUAGAACUAACCAAAAAAAAAUCACUAUGGGUCCAGCUGAUUCAUGUCUAGGAAUUUGUUUAAAAGAAUAAAUGAAUGAAUGAACAUGGAUCGAUAAAUGUAGACUAUCCCUCCAUGUGUGCACUAGUAGAGGAUCGUUUAAUAGGUUGAAAACCUGUUGGCGAAUGAUGAAGGUCAAUAUAGAGAACAAAGAAUAGCUAACAAUUUUAGCUGUAUGCCAGGCAGGCUUCUGAAAACCUUCCAUGUAUUAUUUCAUAGAUCCUUUACUCAGUCCUGGGUGCUUGGUGGAGUAUGUAUGUGUGUGCUUGGAGCACUUGGGAGUGAACCCUUCAGAGAUUUUGAUGAUAUCUCCCUUCUGACACCUCUUCCAAGAAGCUUCCUGAAUUUCUCUUCCCUCUGCCUCAAUGCUGUUAAGCUAAUAUGUUGGCCCAGGCCAAUCACCUUUCCUCCCCAUCUAGGCAAGGCAGACUGUCAGAGAAGGUGGGAGCUUUGGGGGUUUAGGGGAGAAGGAACAGAAGCAUAGGAAAAGCCUGGAGGAAGAAAACUGAAUCCCACUGGUUAGUCAAAUGUGUCUUUCUAUCAAAUGCAUUUUUCUGCUUAAGUUUCCCAUGUCUUGAGAAACCUGAGUCCUGCAGGGCUGUCUUCUUGACUCAGCCCUCGAGCAGAUAUAGCCCACCUCUUAGCAUGGCGUACUAUGAGCCAGGAUCUCUCCACGCUAUCUGCACUCUACUUUCCUCUAACAUUCAGGCUCAUGCUAAACUUUCCUGGACCCUGUCUCUGAUUGGAGCAGGACUGAGAACUCUGGGGUUCUCACUUGCACUAAUCUCCCUCCAUAAAGGAGGAUGAGUUCAUACAGUAAGAGAGCUUUUACUUUGUUCUGAUCUUGAAUCUUGACAAUUUUUUACUAUCAAGUGUAAUUUCAAUAAUAUAGAAUUGGUUUCUUAUUAAAUCAUAGGAAAAAGAUAUCAAGUGUGGUAGGUAUUGUACUGUAAGUUGAUUACAAAAAGCAUUUAUUGAGGUUUAACCACUAGGAAGUGGAUAGAAAAUCAAUUACACGGUAGUUAAGCAUCCAAUAAUAUGUGUUUUAAUGAGCAAUUCAUAUUUAACACCUCUUAUGAAAUAAUGAGCUGUGUUGAAAUUUGGGGACAACCAAGCAGCACUUGGGAUAUCUGGGCUGACUCCCAAGGAACCCGACGCCAUGUUUGAUCAAAUAACAUCAAAGCUUUGGAGUAAUGGUAUAUGAGGACUGGUUCACUGUCCAUGCUGGCCUCACGGCCUCAGGACUGACUACAGAAAUAGGCACACAACUUCUGGGAGUUUCCCAUGUAGACUGGGAAAAGCCAUGUAGAGGUCAGACUGGCCUGGCGAGUGACCAGGGUGGGACUGCCUCCUGGGUUGGGUGGUGCUUAUACUCUGAAACAUUAGCAUUCCCAAUUUCCCGGGUACAUGCAAACAGUGUGAUCCUUCUCUGAUCCUGUCUGGCCUUUAACGGCUGCUGAGACCCAGCCUCCACUGCUGGCUCCUGGUCACAGGGUCUCCCACAUGAAGUGUCGGAGUCAGAUCCAGGACUCUCUACCUGGAAGCUGCGUGUGUCAGUUAUGUGCACACAUGUAAUUCAGCUCGUUACAAUCCAGGCUUCUCCUUAUGACUGCCUUGAGAAAUCAGAUGUGAUUUUAAGGUCAGAAGGAGCUGGAGAGUUUUAGAACCUGUCAAGAUAUUGACAUUUCCAACUUCCGUGAGAAUCGGUCUGGAAUCGUCUCUACUUCCAUUUCGGGAUCUAUACCAUGUGGUAUUAGGCACAAAGGAGUCCGUUGGUUUUGUUGUUAUUGUGUGAGUUUGCGGUAUAUAUGUAUUCAUGUAGCACAUGCGUGUGUGUCUAUGUCUGUCUCUGUGUGUACAGGUAUACAAAUAUGUGUGUUAUUGUGCUUGUGAAACCCAAGUUUCACAGUUUGACAUUCAGUAUCAUACUCAAUCAUUCCCUAUCUAUUCAGAAAAAGUCUCUCACUGAACCUGGAGUUCUGCUGAUUGGCUGGACCCGAUGGCCAGAGAUCUCUAGAGAUCUGCCUAUCUCCGACCCAGCCCCAGGACUAGCUCUGCAGAUGUGUGCUGCCAUGCAGGCUUUUUCACAUGGGUGCUGGAGAUCCAAACUCAGCUCCUUGUGCUUAAACUGCAAGCACUUUACUCCGUGGGCAAUCUCCCAGCCCCUACUAGUUCACAGUUUGCUCAUCUCAAGAGUCCUUGAGUUUAACCAAUUCACAGAUAUUUGGCAGAGUUAUAGGAGAGGUGAAGGAGAGCACAAAAGUGGAAGACAAGAAGAAAAUAGCUGUGUUGAGAUGACCAUCAAAAAUGAGAACCAGCAAGCACAGGGAAUACAAAAUGCACAUUUCAAAGGGAAAAGGACCUCCAUGGGGAAGGUUGGCCACAAGUGGGAGAAGCUGAGUGGAGAGGGACUUGAGGAGUGAAUGAGCUAUUGAUUUAGAAACACAGGCUCUGGCUGGCAUGAAAACCAUGGAUCUUGAAACCAAGCUGUGGUGUGUCUGAGAAUUGGCAGAUGGGAUUGGGCUCUAGUGCCUGGCAGACUGCUUUCUGGUUCUUUCUACCAUUUGCUAGCAAUAUGGCUCAGAGGUUAUUUAACUGCUCUAUACCUGGAGGUUCAGUACACAAGUUGCUAUGUCAACUACUUAGUACCCACCUUACUCUAGUUAACAUGAAAUAUUAAUUGACUGACGUGUGUGUGUGUGUGUGUGUGUGUGUGUGUGUGUGUGUGUGUGUGUGGUGGCAUUCACCUUACAUGGUCAGGUUGUGGUAGUGAAUUGGAAAAACCUCAUGUAGAACAUCCCAUGUAUUGACUGAUAUAUAAUCAGUACAAGCUUAAUACUAGCAGUUAUUCUUAUUACCUUUAUUAUUAUAAUAAUAUCCAGGCACCCAGUUACUAUAGCCAUUUAAUCUUAUUAUCUAUGUCCUUGCUGUCAAAGAUAUUGAGACAUAUUUCAUGACCUCUUAUCAUAUUGACUGACACAAAACAUGUUCUCAUAUUAUGUCAAAUAAAUUAAUCAAUUAAUUCACAGAAUUCUAGUAUAGGAAAGAGUACUUAUUGAAUGUCUUACUAUAGCUAUAGAUUAUGUGAACAUAACCCAUUAACCCUUUUAUGAUCAUGUAUAAAUUAGUAAUAUGGGGUUAAAAUACCUAUUCUUGAAUUCUAUGUUUCAACUUGGAAACCCCAGCAGUUAUGGUCACAGUUUGUGACUACCUGAAUUUCCCAGCAAUCACUUUCAAAGGGAAGUAAUUAAUGACAUAGGUUGCAGAAAGGACUCUUGGCAGUGACAGGCAGAACUCGAAUGGGGGCCAUAUAUUAGGGAAGGACAAUAGUGGCUCUGCUUAAAUGGUGGGUCCCUGCUGACUAUGGGUUCCAUAAUGGUCGGCCGAAGGGGAAUGGUGUUUCUGUAAUAGGUUGGUGAAAAAAGUGUGUGUGUGUGUGUGUGUGUGUGUGUGUGUGUGUGUGUGUGUAAGCAACAGGACAGAAUAAUACUGGAAAAGGACAAAAACAAAACUGUGAAGUAAGGAAGAUGCCUGGAGACCUGCAUCCUGCCCAGUCAAGGCCUCCAUUCAGCAGCUUUUACUAGAGAGGGCUUGACUCAUGUUGAAUAUUUGAUAAAUGGAUAAAUAAACUGGUGAAGGAAUAACUAAAGGGACCUUAACAGGCCACAGAUGAUGAAUAUAGGCAUGCCAUCGCAGCUAUUAAUACCAACAAAGUGAUAGAUAACAAAGCAAUUCUUGACAGAGGCUUAGACUGCAGAGUAUGCUCAUCAAUGUGCCGACGUCAAAUCAAGAUGGUAGCCUAUCUGGAAUGUUUCCCUUUGUCUUUUUCAUCCAGGCCAACGAAACCUGAAGGUUUAAGCACAGAUACCUGUGUGAAAGAGAGAAUAUCUCUUGGGACUAAGAGGCAAUUAGGGUAGGGGUGGGUUAGCAGCAUUUCCUGAAGGCACCGGGGAAACCUGAGAUCUGUUUGCUCACAGCCUAGAGGGACAUCUUUAAAGAUUUGCUAAAUUGCAAGGGCAGAUUAAAACGGUACUUAACUACUCCAGGCCACAUUCUUCAAGGGGCCUUGUGGAGAAUGUGGGAGGGAGAAUGGCAUCUUUGAAAGGAAGUGAGUGGGAACUGGGAAAGAGGGUGAGGGGAGAAGCUUCCAGACCAUCCUCAGCCUGGUAGAUGGUGGUACUUCCUAAUCAUCUAUGACAAAGUCCUCAGGAGUUCACUUGUGGUGAAUGUUGCUGAUAGGCAGCUGAGCAUCCAGCACAGAUGCCAGGACACCUGAGAAGGACGGUGAUGGUUUUGCCAUUGCAAGAAUCACAGUUGACAGCAGAGGUUUGGUGACGGAGGUAGGGGCAAGAAUACAGUCUGAAAAUCUAUGCACAUGCCAAAGCAGUUUUGUCAUUGCCGAAGCAACCCCAAAGUGAAGCAUAAUGGAGAACUCAAGGCAGAUAGAGUCUGUCAGUGAGAUUUAAUUUGUUUCAGAACUGAGAGAGUUGCGGGAGGCCGCGGCUCUUGAUUGGAGUGGACAGCAGAGAGGUAGACGGGUAAGGCACAGGAGCGAUUCAUUCCAGAUAGGACUCGAGUAAACCAAUCCGAUAAAUCUCUUCAUUAGGGUCUUGAAUAAAAGGCAAGUGGAAAGAGGGCAGAGCACAGCCUGCAGAUUAAAUUUGGUCAGAGCCAAUAUCUGACAAUCCCCCAUGCUGUUAUCCAAAUGAAAGCUAAUGCAACUAUGAAUUAGCAGCCCCAGGAGCCAUGGAAGAGGGAAUUCAAUUCACUAAACUCAGCUGUAGCCUAGACUGAGAGAGGAGCCAUGGGAGGCUGCUGUGACUCCCCAAGUAUGCAGGUAUUAGGAAGUAUGCAGGUAUUGGGAAAGAGCUACAGGAUGCAGAGCCCAGUGUGGAUCUCAGCUUGGACUGCAUGCCUUGUCUUGAGUUGGCUACUGGGAUGGAAAAAACAGACCGUUCAUAGCUAAAGGCCUGGGAAGCCCAAAGAGUGCCAGCAGCCCAGAACCCAUCCUUAUCCUCUCGCCUCCAUCUGGCCAACCUUGAGGACUGCUUUCUUCACAGUGAGCCCGGGAUAAAGUUCCAAGCUGUGCUCCUGAAAUCUCAUUAAGACCCCACCUCUUGAAUCAAGUAACAGGGAGUCCCAGACACUGAGACUAGCCGCUCCCUUACUUUGUUCUAAUUUAUUCAAAUUGGACAAUAUUGAAAAUAAGGGGACAUGGGGAGCACAUGUGACCUUCCAUCACUUGCAGAGAUCAUCUUUUAAUGUUCUCCUUAGAUCAUGUGCCUGCCCUUGACACUUGCAUCUGUCAUUCUGAGCCCAGUGACCUUGCAGUGCUGCCCUUUCCCCUGUUCUCCUGUCCAGAUGACAAACUCCAUGAUGGGCUUGAUAUGAAUGCAUUACUAUCCAUUUAUAUCUGUCCCUACUGACUUAAUCUUGCCCUGAGCAUGUCUGUCCUUCACUGGCACUCCAAUUGUAUGAUGUAAGUAUGCCUGAAUGCUUCUCAUAGGCAGAGUCAGCCAUGUCUAAGAUAUUCUGUUUCUACAGUGCCAAUGGGGGCUAUUGUUGGACAUCAUUGGAUAUAAGGGCAUCACAUUGUAGGUAGGUAGAGAGAGCCCAGUCCAAUCCCCACCCCCAACAGUUUUAACUAUAAGCCAGUUAAUAAGAAUGAAUGAAGAUGAAUGUUAGACCAGAGAAGCUGCUAAAAGCCCAGAAGCUUCAGAAAACAAUUCCAAGAACCCACAGAGUGGGCCACCAGACCACUGUGUCCUCUCACUCCAAUGAGAGUGUUUAUCACUGAGAUCUCUGCUAGCCAGAGUUCAAGGGCAGAGUCUGGUCCUGGAGACUUGUUCUACAGUGGUAGGGGUGGAGGUUUCUGAGUAUGAUCUUCCAAUGCUACUCUCCACGCUGCACUGCUUCCUUAACAUGACAAAUUGGAGAUCCUGCCUUCCUUUCCUGCCUGCAUGUUAAUGAACCAAGCCUUGUAGACAUGGUAAGGAGUUCACAAACAACACAGCUUUAAGGUACUCAGAAAAAUAAAACAAAAUUUCAUAGAACAUUUGCCCAAAAUGUGGAAAGGCAUCUUCUGUAAGCCAUAGAUUCAGAGGAGACUCUAAAGGAAAAGUGCUGAGAGAGUGCCAGACAGGAGGUGCAGGGCAUUCAGACCUCUGAGAUCCCCUCAUACUCAAGGAUUUCAUUUCUUAAAAUAGUACAUCCUUCAACACAGUGGCACCCGCAAUAAAUGCCAUUCCAUUGCACCUGAGUGACCUUCUCCAGCUUAGACAACAGGUCAGGCCAGUGGGUGGGGCUUUCACAAAAGGAACCCAGGUUUUCUGAAUCUGGGGUUGGGAUGAUUACCUAAUUUUUUGCUGCCAGGUUGCUGUGUUUGUUUUGAGACAUGUGGCUAGUGAGAAUUGGGCCUUGGGACAGAAGAAAUGUUGUUGUCGUUGUUGUUGUUGUUGUUGUUGUUGAUGAUGAUGAUGAUAAUGAUGACAUCAUGCUAAAUGUGCCUGUUUAUCAUGUGCCAGACAUGAUGCUAGAAAUACAGAAUGCAUUUCUUACUUAAUCCUUAGCCAGUAUGUGCUUCAGAAUGCUAUUAUUCCAAUUUAAGUGAAAAAUCAAGACUGAGAAAUGAAUAAAUUGAUCACAGUUACAAAGCUCUUUAGUGACCCACAGUCACUAAACAUAUUUCUCAAUAGGAAAACUUGAACCAGACAUCAUAGGAAUGCACUGUUUUCUAGAAUUAUUUGACCAAGAGGAGAGCCUAGGUAUGAUCCAAUCAAACCUUUGUUAGCCCAGAAAACAGCAGUACUUCUUCAAGGCCAUGCCACAGGAUUGUUGUAAAGCUGGCAGUAAAGUUCUGCUCUCCUGAAUUGUUCUCUCUUUUCCCCUUCACCCACUUACCACCACCUCUUUGAAUUUCACUUUGGAGAACUGGACUAUUUUAGUUUUUGAGGAAUUUGUUGAUGACUUCCAAUGAAUGAAUGAACUGUGUAUGGGAAGUAGAAUAUCAAAAAGCUGGAAAUUAAUCAAGAAAGAAGUUUCGGAUCUAUUGAAUUAUGAUACCUAUAGUAACAGAGAUAAGAACCUGGGAAGCAGUCCUCCUUUUCUGGUUACAUCACCUGACUUGGGGUGAGCUACUUCAGAGAAGACUGUAAGGGUUGGAAGUAUCUUGUUCUAUUCCUGAGAGCUUUGCUGACCCAUGCUUUUGCCUGAGUUCUAAGACAGAGUGACAGAGGGGAAAUGAUUCUUCUCUGAUUUCCUCCCAAUAGCCCAUGGUCCGGAUAGAGUGGUAUCAAUGCCACUGAAUGCUCCAUGCCAGGCUGACUGGGUCUCAUUCUGUAGUCCAGGCUGCUCCAGACAAGCCUUGAAUUAGGUAGAGGAUGAUUUCCACCUCUUUUCUCCCCACCCCUACCCACAGUGCUGGGAUUACAAGCAUAAGUUACCGCACCUGGACCUAGAGGGAUAAUUUAAAUGCAUACUUCUUAAAACUAUGCUUCCAGAAUUUCUGACUCCAUUUAUACAGUAUUUUAGUUGCUUCCCAGAUGAUUCUGAUAUUGGUCAGAAUUACAGCCAUUCCCACAGGUUUUGAUGUUAUCAAGCAAAGAAGAAAGUCACCUGACCAGUCAAGUAAAAGCUCUUCUGGGGGGAUCCAUUUGCUUGCUUGCUUUGCACCAUUGCCAAAGAAUAUUCUGAGGAUGACUGCAGCGCCAAGGGACAGGAAGGAAGGGACAUGUGCACAAGAUUCAUUAUUUUCAUGCAGAUGAAACGUUCAGUAAUUACAACUUCUUGUCAUACAUGAAGGCUCAAUUGAGAUAGAAUCAUGAACAGUGUUAGAUUAUUUAGAUCAAUUGAUCCUGAUAGCAAGAAGAUCAGACUUCCAUCAAGCUAGGUAGUUAUUUAGAUAAAUGAGGCAGCUAACCGCAAGGCAAAGGCAGCCUCUCGCUAACACAGCCAUAUGUGAAUUCACUGGAACACCUGGAGCUGAAGCAACAGGAGGAGAUGAAGGCACCAGAAUUCGAACGUUUAUGACCAUAAAGGCCUCCCCUAGUGCAUUUAGCACUGAGUAACUCAGUCACUACCUUACAAGGGCAAAGAGAUUAGAGACAAGCUAAGAUGGUGGCAGGUGGCAGGCACUGAAAAUAAUCCAUCCAAAGUCACAGGAUUGACGUGAAUAUGACGAGUUCAGUACCAAGAGCAUAUCUUAGAAUGUCACAGGAAUGGGCACUUGCUUGGAGUGUAGAAGACAACAUUCAAAGUUCAUAUUGUAAUUAGUACAUGUGUAUAUUCACAUAUAUACCCUAUGUAGAAAUAAGGAAAAGUUCCUUCUCUCGUCUGUAAAUUUAAAUGAGGUCCAGAAUGGUGAAGGCCACUUGUAAGGUCUGCUGAGCUAAUGGAUUCAUAAUGACUUUUAAAGCUUCACUUGGGUAAGAAAUACUGUUCAUUUUUUAAUUGCAUAUAAUUAUACUUUUUUCAUAAUCUAGGAUGGCAUAGAAAAAAGUAAAUCUACUGGCUUAAUUAUAAAUCUUUUUAUUAUCUGGAACCCUGCUGAAAUAAAAGGAAAAAGAAACAACUAUUGUUUUUUCUAAUCUAAGAGAAAGGAUUUAAACAGUACAUGCCCUCAGUGUUAAAUGUGUUAGGUUGCUUUUGAUGGGGGAACUCUAGUUAGCCAUACAUUCCACACUGUUCUAGGAGGCAAGACGUAGAUCUGCCGGGGAUUCUGAUCUGCCAGAAUUCGGGCUGCAUCAUGACCUUGAAGCCAGGCAUUAGAGGACUAUUGGAGACGCUAAGAGUUUGUCACUUGCAGAUUCAUGGUGAGAAAGCAUCGAGCCUCAAGGAGUUGGAGGUUGACCAACGCAGCAAAGGUAUCGAGAAGUCAAAAAGUUGAUGCCUCACGAGCCUGAUCAGAUUUCCCAUCUUCAGAGUCCUGCUUAAUAAUUUCUCACCUGGACCCUUCGAUGACUUUAUAACUAUUCACACUGCCACUGUUGACCCUGGGAAGGGAAACUCACCUCUCAAGAGCACACGAUGGCAAUGUAGCCAUGAGCAUCGUCUUCACUCAUAAGAUUUGCUGAAAUCCAAGUUUCUUGUAAAUUAGAAAUGCUGAAUCCAUCGCAUGUAGAGAGACUGCACCAUCUGGAAGGGUGGCAGGGCAAGUUUGAGUCUGAACAGAGAUACUGAAGGGACAAGAGAGACACAGACCUAGACUGUAUAGAGGUACCAACAUGCCCCUUCAAGCCCAGUACACUACUUGUCUUUUCACAAAGGAAGAUAUGCCUAACAGCUCAACAGAGGAGGCUGCCUCUUGAAGGGAACGGAGCUUCUACUGUGAUCAGGAGAGGCCCUUUGCUAGGAAACCUGGGAGAAUAAGGUCACUGCUGAGUGCACCAGGCCGACCUUGAAAGGCACAGAGAACUAUCUUCUCAGAGUAGAAACUCAUGAUCCUCUGAAAGUCUCUUCUAUCAGUUUUGUAAAAGAGUAUUCAGUCAUUGUUGGGAGGGAGGGGCAGGGAGCCCAGAAGGAAAAACCAAUUAAGCUCUUAAAGGUUGAACAACUCAUUUGGGUCCAAUAGAGAUGAACGAUAUUGCUGCCCAUCUCAGAGAGAGAGGUGGCUUCUUGUGAAGAGACAGCACAUUGUAAUUAACAUCCUUCCCAUCCCUUGGGAUAGUUUUGUACCACUCUCCUAUAAGUAUAACCAUAAGCCUAACUCACACAGGUCCUGUGACAAUGUAAGUACAAACUACCAAGGCUGUCUUUAAUCUCCCAGCACUACCAUCUAGUCUACACCCUGGACCUGGUACCAAGUACUCCCUUCUCACACUGAAACCCCUAUCCCAGUAGCCACUGGCCUCAGAUCUUCACCUGGAGUUUCUUUUUCUUCUCCUCUCGCUCGUUCUGUGUCCAAACUGCUUUCCUUGCACCUAAUUCUGCUUAGAAUUGGUGUUUUAUUUCUUAACCUUAUCUCCAGAAUGAAGCAGGAUCUCCAACUAAUAAUGUCCUACAUCCUGUAGUCAGUGUGAGCUUUCUGGAAGAUACAAAGGUGGUGUGUGUGUGUGUGUGUGUGUGUGUGUGUGUGUGUGUGUGUGUGUGUAUGUGUGUGUGAGUGUGUGUGUAGAGUAAAAGACCAUGCUUCUGGAAACUUCCCUUCUUGGGCUUAUAGGAUGAUAACUGCCACAAACACAAAUGCAAUUAUUGGAAGUUGGCUAUCUAAUCUGAAUCGAAAUGGUAGGAUUCAGAUCCAGACCCCAUUGUAUGGUUUCAGUCAAGACAAAGAGCAUACGUCUCAUCCCUUAAUUUCCUCAUAGCAGUCAAAGCAUAUGUCAGUUUAGAAUUCCAGUCCUGUGACCUUCAGCAAUAGAGUUGACCUCAAUGUUUUCAUCUGAGAAAAAUAGAUAUGGAGAAUGCUUAGCCUUAGAGCUGUAAGAAUUUGAGGACGUAGGAAGGUCAAGUGCCUUACAGGAUCAGAGGCCUAGCACUCCAUGCUCAGUCGUUGGCUUUUACUGUUGCUGCUGUUAUUUCUAUUAUUAGGCACAGAAAUCUGGCUACCAGUCCCAGUUUUUCCUCUCCCUGGUAGCUUGACCUUGGUUGAGCUGUAUAAUUUUUCAGACUUAGUCUUUGCAUCCAUUAGAGAUAUGAUUAAUAUUUUCUGUCUUACCAGUUAUGUGUAGGUUUGGCAAUAAUGCACAGAAAGCCCAACCAAGAUGGCUUCAACGAGCAGAGAUCCAUUUGUCUCACUUAGCACAGAUUCCAGGGAGCUGCCAUUUCAGUCAACUUAGCGGUGCCUCAGCAUCAGGACCACAUCUCCUGGAUGCUGUCAGGCUUUUCAGCCUUUCUUACCCAUGGCUACUCCCUGAUGUCCCAUUAUGACUGUUCUUUGAAGGUUUAUCCUUAUUCUAGACGUGGAGAAAGAUAUAGGGAUAGCAUGUUUUCAUCUUUGUUUGUAUAUAUGUAUGUAUGUAUGUAUGUAUGUAUUAUGCAUGUGGAUGUACAUGAUGUAUAUGUAUUUUAUAUGAUGUAUAUGUAUGUGUACUUGUGUAUAUACAUGAGCACACAUAUCACACACACAUAUAACACACACACACACACACACACACAUCUCCACAAACUUUCCCACACCCAACACUGAAAAUCUUUGCUCCCAUCAUCUUGACCAGGACGAAGAUGACUGCAGAGGCUGUCAGCCAACACUGUCUGUCACUCUUACUGAUAGAGUCGAGAUGAAGAUACACGAGCUAGUGUGUGUUAAAGUGCCUUGUAAGUGCCUUACAAAAGUAAGUUGUUAUCCUUACCCACACCCUGUACAAAGGAGAGGCCAGUCAAGUGGCAAGUGAUAACUAUAUUGUUCGGGCCUUUUAACCCACACUGAGAUAAAUGGAAGGCAUUUAGAAGGCGAUGGUAGCUUUAGCACCAGCUGACAGGUCCUAUCCUCUCGUAGGCGAAGCUGGAGGUUAUCCUGUUUCGUUCUGCUAGAGAGAUGAUGCUUGGAUGGAGCUUGGUUGCUUCAAUUGUCUCUGCUUGAUAUGACCGUGAGGCUAUAUCCUAGAUAAAUACAGAGAAUCUCUAGGAACAGCAGGAAGUAUUCCUGAAAGACUCAUUCGCCAGUAAUGGGAUUAUGUUAAGUUAAUGAUAGGUAGCCCUUAAUGUGUGCCCUCCCUAUUCAUGUAGCCUUCUGACAUCCUUAAUAAGCAUCUGCUAUUUUUUUAACAGCUUUAUUGAGGUAUAAUUUAUGUACCACGAAACUCACUGCCUAGUAAAUGUACACCAUUGUGUGACUAUCACUACAAUCCAAUUUUAGAACACUCUCAUCUCCCCCAAAUGAUCCUUCAUGCCAAUUUGAGGAAAGUCCCCAUUCCCAGGCUUUGCUGCAAAUGACAGUUCUAUUUUCUACCUCUGUUGGGGAUGUCUUUUUCUGGACACUUCGUCCCAGUGGAGUUGUACAAUAUGUGGUCCUUGGCAUCUGGCUCCUUUAGCAUGGUAUGAUUUGAGGGUUUGCCCAUGCUAUAACAGAUAACAGUGAUCUGUGACGUUUGAUCGCAGGCAAGUAUCUGUUACAAAGAUUCACCCCAUUUUAUUUAUUCUUUACCAGUAGGGGAGCAUUUCUGCUUUUCCUACGUUACUGCCAUUAUACUGUGAGCAUUUAUGUCCCUGUCUUGGGGAAGAUGCUCAUUUUCAUGUCUCAUCUGUAGAUAUCUAGGAGUAGAACUGCUAGGUCAUAUGACAAGUUUAUGCUCACACUUUAGGAACUGACAAACCACUUCCAUUCCUUCCAUCGACAUUUUUUAUUCCUACCUGCAACGCCCCAGCAUCAGUGAUUGAUUAUUCCUCUUACAUCACAUCCUUGCCCACAGUUUUUUGGGGAUCAUAAAUACUUUUUCUAGGCAUGACACAAUAGUUUGUUAUGGUUCAAAUCUUAUUCCUUGGCGACUAAUGGUGUUGAGCAUUUUUCCACUGGUGUAUUCAGUUAGUAUGUUGUUAAUGAGCCUUUCGAAGACCUUUGCCUAUUGUAGAGUAGAUUUGGGGGAGAUGGCUUCAUGGGUGCAAUUUUUACUGUUCAAGCAUGAGGGCCUGAGUUUUGGAUCCCCAGAACUUACAUAAAGCUGAAGGUAACAGCACACAUCUGUAAUCCCAAAACUUCUACAGUGACAUGGGAAGUAGAGAUGGGAAGUUUAUAAAGACAGCCAGCCAGGCAACCACAAUGGUCAACAAAAGACUCUGUCUCAAGGUGAAAGGUGAAGAUAGGUGCCCAAGGUGUCUUUAGACUUGCAUACCUACUCUACACUAACACACAAAUCUCUCUCUCUCUCUCUCUCUCUCUCUCUCUCUCCCUUUCUCUCUCCCUCUCUCAUACAUAUGUGUUGUUGUAAAAAUAUAAAAAUAAUUAGGAGUAAUUGUCUUUUACCCGGCUAGGUCCGCACGGCGGUGCCCAGAUAUCUGCUAGAUAUCUUGGCGGAAACACAUCCCAGCCUCACACUUUCCUGCACUCAAACCCUCACAUAAAAGAACACACAACACAAUAAUCUUUGACCCAAUAGGUAAGAUAUAAUUGCCCACUUAAACAUACAAAGCCCGGUACCAUCCAUCCCUUGAGAACAUUAAUAACAACCUGUAAAUACACAGAGCAGAAUCUUAACAUCACCUGCCAUCUUGUCCUGCCACGGCUUCUCCCCUCUCUCUGUCCCUCGUCUCUUCCUAGUCUCCUCCCCUUCCUUCAAACUUCUCUCCUGCCCAUCCUUCCUUCUCCUCCAAUGACAGGCCUCCUUCUAUCCUGUACCUGCCUCCCCUGUGACAUCAUCCUACACAUAUGCAUCGUACAUACCUAUUUAAUUAAGUAGAUUUAACUUUUAGAACAACUUUACAUUCACAGCAAAAGUCCCCAUGCCUUUGCCCAACCUCCAUGUGGUCAGAGCUCAGAGGCUACUGUUUGUGUUAAUAUUAACUCAUUCCUGCUGCUGUACACAUCCGGUGUGUGGAAAAGCACAGAAAGGACAGGUACUCACGUACAAAGCAGUGUUUCUGCCCUGAAUCCUCCAUGUUCUACCUAUUCAUCCUGUCCUCCCACAGCCCCCCAGCAACCACUACUGCUGUUAUUGUCACCAUAGGUUUGCCUUCCCAGGAUGUCACAUAGUUGCAGUCAGUCAUACACAAGCUCUUGAGAUUGGCUUCUUUCACUUACUAACAUGUGUUCACGUUUCAUCCGUGUUGCUUGCAUGGGCUGAUAGAUCUGCUUUAUUUGGGGGCGGGGUGUUUUUGUUUCUGUUUUGGAGUGGGGAGGUACUGGCACUGAAUGAUAUUUCAUUGUCUGGGGAAAAUGGUUCACGUAUCCAUUCACCUGCUCAAGGACACCUCGGUUGCUUCCCAGUUGUGGCGAUUAUGAGUAACAUCACGCUAAGCAGCCAUGUGCAAGUUUUUGUGUAGAUAUAGAGUUUCAGCUCAGUUGGGUAAAUGCCAAAAAGCACAACAGUUGCACCUUCUGUUACUGACCUCCAGGAGAUGAUUCUCCGCUUCCUCACCAUCAGUGAGGGAGAAUCUACGCUGUCUUACAUAUUUCUGUGCACUGUUAGUGGUUUCUAGAUGGUCUGCGUCUGGCAGCUGUAUAGCUGUGUCUCCUGGCUUAUUUUGGAAUUCCUUUUUGGCUUAUACUGUUGAGAUCAUAUCUGCCCUCUGCUGAUUUUCUUUGGUGAAGAAUCUUUUAAAAUAAGGCAUUCUGCCUACUUAUUAAUAGGCUAUUUGUGCUGUUGUUUCUGGGUCUUAUGAGUCUUUUGUCUACUUUGGAUAGCAGUCCUACAUCAGAUCUGAUGUUGGUAAAUAUUUUUUCUCAUGUUGUGACUUACCUUUUCAUUUGCUUGACUUUUGCCCAGUUUUAAAUUGGUUUGUUGGCUUUCUUAUUAUCGACUUUCAAGAGCCCUUUAUAAGCUCUGGACAUGUUAUUCAUCAAGGAUAUAAUUUACAAAAUGAUCUCUCAGAGUGUGGCUUGUCUUUUCAUUUUCUUAAUACGAGCCUUUUUAAGUGCAAAUUAUUUUAAUCCAAAUGACAUUAAAAUUCUUGAUAUGUUCUUUUAUGGCUUAUGUUUCCAGUAUAAAUUAAAAGCCUCAAAUACACAAUGGUUUUCUUUUAGAAUGUUUAUAACGUUAUGUCUUACUUUUUUUUUUCCUUUUCUAUUUUUCGGAGCUGGGGACUGAACCCAGGGCCUUGCACUUGCUAGGCAAGUGCUCUACCACUGAGCUAAAUCCCCAACCCCAUUACAUUUUUGUUAAUAUCAGUCUUUUGGUUAGUUUAUGGACAUCAUGUGAGACUGGAUCUAAAUUCAUAAAUGCCCAUGCAAAUAUCUGGAUUUACCAUCAGAUGUUGAGAAAACUACUCUUCCGUUACAAGUCCCAACACUUUCUUUAAAAAUUAAUUGCUUGAAAAUGCUGUAAAUACAGGAGUUUACCUCUUAGUAGUUGGUUCUGCCCCCUUGUUCUAUGUGUCUAUGACCAUGUCAGUGCCACACCUUGCAGAUUAGCAUAGCUUUAUAGCAUGUUUUAAAACCAGUCGGUGUAAGUUUUUAAACCUUAUUCUUUUUUAGUUUUUGUUCAUUGGACUCUCCUGGGCCCUUUGCACUUCCAUAUAAAUGUUAAGAUUAGAUUGUCAGCUUCUAAAAACCAAUUAUCUCAGAGACUGAGAUUUUGAUAGGACAUGCAUUUAAUACAAAGAUAAUUUAGGAAAAACUGCCUUCUUAGCAUUUCUCAGUUUUCCUGAAUCAGUGUUCUUUGUCUCUCUCUUUAUUUAGAAUUGCUUUAAUUUCUCUCAACAACUCCAUCAGCAGGAAGUAUUGAAAAUUUUCACUUUUUUUUUUUUUGCUAAAUUCAUCUUUAGUCUAUUAUUUUUAUGUUAUUGUGAAUGGGAUUAUUUUCCUAAUUUCUCUUUGAGAUCACUGCUUGUAUAUGGAAUCAAAAUUAUAUUUUUGCAUAUUGUCUUACUUCAUAUAAAUUUGCUGAACUUAUUUAUUAGUUCUAUCAAUAUUUUUGCAGAUUCCUUAGGUCUUUUUUUUUCUUUUUCAUAUAGGAUGAUCUACAAAUAAAGACAAUUUUUCUUCUAUCUGCCUUCCAAUCUGGUUGCUAGGCAUCUCUUAUUGAAUUUGAGAUGUUAUAAAACACUCUGAAAGAGUGAAGGGAGUUUCCCCAGAGCAGAUAAUGUGAUCACUCUAAGAAGGAAGGGCUUGCAAAUUGGGGUUGGGAUGGGCAAAGAACCAGGAAGUCCCCACUGAGCUGCAAUGAGUUUAAGGUCUCUGAUUCAUUUUCCAGAGAACUAUGGGCAAGAGACAGCAGGAGAAAGACAUGCACAGGCUUGAGGCAGGCACCUUGACAAGGACACAGGCAAGGUUGCUUCAGUGUCAGAGCUGUUGAGCUGUCCCAAUUUUAACUUUGCUCUGUGAAGAAAAGGGGUAUUCUCUCUCCAUUCAUCUAGAUGUUUUUCCACUCAAGCAAGGACAAUCUACCCACUCCUUGCAAUGAAGAUGGGGUCAUAGUGACACAGAGAAGCCUUGUGUAUUUGUGUGAGCUCCUAUGCCACCACAGCAGAAACUCCACACUUAACAAGUCUCUCAGCCUCCAGUGAGAUGCCUCUUAAAUAACCCCUCAUUACUUAAUAUGCAAUGGUUGUUAUGGCUAUGUGAGCUGUUAUCUGUUUAUGUUGACUAUUAAUAAAUUAUUAGACCAUAUCGUGUGGGUUUUAAUAACUCCAUAGGAAGAGAAGUGUGGCCAGGAGGUGAAAUCCCAAGCAAUUACAAAUUCAUAGUUUGAGUGUGUUGUUUCUCCCCUCCCCCCUUCUAGUGCAUAGAAGCUAUUCACUUACAGAGAAAUUAAAUACACAGGCCUUUGCCCUUACUUAGAAUUCUGGCCAUGCACAGGGAAGGAGCUCACAGCAGACAUACAUUCCUGGUGGGAGUAGCCUGCUGGGAUAUCAGUAGUAGGGCUUGCCCCAGGCAUGAGCCUGAAGCUUUUUAGGCUCCCUGCCUUGAGUCUCUGGCUUUUCCUCAUGGAGUGAAAGCUUCUGUAAGGAUGGGGAGGUUGCAUGUAGUCUGUGCAGCUAAGCAAGACUUGAAAAUGCAUCACUCCAAAUCAGCCUUGAAAUAGGGCCUCUCAGGUUGGCCUGCUUGACUGCUCCCAGAUGAGACCCAGGAAGAUGCCCUGCACCCCCUGCAUGUAUGUCCUUGCUUGUUGGAGACAAACAGACAUGAGACUGUGUAAGACUAGGAUUGAAGUGUCAACCUAGGUGGGGGCAGGGGGCUCCAUCAUCACAACCCUGGGAGGUCAGGCAGAGGCAGAGGGGGUAUCAGGUCUCAGCUGCAACAUGGAACUAGACUCAAAUCAUUUUAGCAUCAGCCAUGAUUUUAAAAAUCAAUACCAAGCCUUUUGAUACGGUCUUAAUUCCUUCUAUUUUCUUGCAGUCCAUAGAGGUGUUGAUAGAUUUCCUUCUCCAUGUAGCUAUGGAAAGAAAAUAUGAUUUUGUCUUUGGGAUAGGAGUGCCUUGUGUAUCAGUGGAAUCAUUGACUGAGAGGCAGCAUGUUUCUGGAGCAUCCCAGAAACUCAGGAAACCUCAGUCCUCUGCAUCGUUUGUUGACAGGUUUCUCUUUGCUUCAAGGGGCAGUUUCCACAUUACCUACAUCAUUGCUACCAUCGAGAAACUGAUGACAACCUGUCCUAGGAUGUCCAAAAGGUUAAGUGGAUGCGAGUGUCUGACCACUUGUCAUCCACACUGAGUUCUUAAAUGACAGCACUUCUUAGUAUCCUCCUUACAUUUGCUGACAGAAACUAUAUACAGAGAUGAACCAGCUUCACUUUCUAGGAUGGCAGUCCUAGAGGGAUGAACAGGUGAAUGACCAGAAGAAAGUGUUUAAGAUGGUCCUAGAGACCCCCAAAUCUAUGUGCUCCUCGACAACAGGGGAGUCCUUUUGUGUACCUCCUCUUUCAUAUAACUGAAUGUUUGCAAAAUGAUUAACAAAAAAAAAGGGAGAAGGAAGAAGAGAGUAAGGGAGAGGUUAAAAGAGGGAGGAAAGGAAUAAAAGAAAGGUCAGUAAUAGAUUCCAGUUCAUUCAUUCAUUCACACAUUCAUACAUCCUGAUAGGUAGGCAUAAUGAUAGGGUUUUUUUUAUAGAAAGACACUGUAGUAGUCAGGCUCUAUGCCAGGUGUCAUAGAUACAACAGUGCCCAGAAGCAACCCUCUCCUUCCAUGAGCUUGCUGACAACCUGAGAGGCGGGUAUUCACGUGACUGAGGUACAUAGGCUGUAUGAUGGGCCAAGCUCUGAGGGUUGUUGGAGCUUUUCCAUAUGUGGAAGCAGAGAUUGGCACGGGGAAUAAACCAUGACAAGCUUGGAGUAAAACAUUCAUGACAUAGUAAUGUCAGGAUAUCGAGGGAAAAAAGCAGAAGGUGCUGGUUACAGCAAAGCCAAGACGACGUAUCUGCAGAUCUCGAGUAGCCUGAGAGUCUAAGGCAAGAUUCUGAAGCAAUUCUAAGAGAAAGGAGGGGCCCUUGAGCAGGAGUAGCGUGUGACUUCUGGUUGGCAUAGUGUGCAGUGUUCUAGUAGCACAGGGAAGCGCACAGGGAGAGGAUAGGAUGUGCCUUUGCAGAGAAAGACAACAGACAAGAUGGACACAAUGGCUAAGGGGUAGAGAGAACCCAGUGGCCAGCUUUGAUCCACAGCCAACCUCCUAGUUAAGUAAGGUCUGAGGUCGUGGUAGGGAAGGGCGAAGGACUGAAGUCCAGAAAAACAGAUUAGCCACAGAGGCAAAUGUUAAGUUGGAGAACAUUUGCAGGCAGGGAAGGGCUUUUGGCCCAGAAUUAGAAAAGGUGAAGAGGGCUUGCAGCAGACACUACUGCAAGGCCAGGGUAAUGGGCAUUGGACAUUGUCUCAGGGACCACACCCAGAGCUGCGCCAUUCCAACACACCAAGCACACAGGACUUCCUUGGCAAGGGAAAAGAUGUACAUCUCAAAUAAUAGUGGAGGAGAGGGCUUUGUGAGCACAAAGAGGCUCAUUCAUGAACUCACCAAGUUGUGCCUGUUGCCACAGUAACGUGUCAAGGGUUUGGCAGAUCUGGGAGGGAGCUUUUUUAAACACACACACACACACACACACACACACACACACACACACAACUAAAACAAAAACAAAACCCCCUGAGUUACAGUACUCAAAGCAAAUUAGGUCACUGUUACGAGUUAUUAAUUUUAAUGCAUUAAGAAAAAGUGUGCAGGGGGAGUGAAGGACUUUUUUUUUUGAACGAGGCAAAUGGGGAACAGAAAAAAGUACAACAAUAAUUAUGCUGAAAGCAAAGUGAAGCGUUCCAUAAAAUGAAAGAAAUGAACAAAUUGCACACCCCUCCCUCCUCUUCCCUCAAGUGUAGUUAGGGGUUGCUGGGGUGGGGGUGGGGUGACUCCCUCACAGCCCUCUGAUGCAAUUACAAGGGCUGGCUUCUUUGUAUGUGUCGCAUGCAGUUACUUAAGCCAGCUGAAGUUCCAGGAUAAAAAGAAAGCACCGAGGACCACGGUCUGGGGCUGAGCUAUUUUCAGGGUGGAAUCACUUUUAGGCAACCGUGCAGCCUGGUGAGGAGAAACUGAAUGCUGCGGAUGCACGCUCCAGGAAGGAGGGAUGAUUCAUAGAGACUCCAGGCAUUUGGGUCUUUGGGCCUGGCUCACUUGGAAUGCCAACGGCUUCCGUAAAUACUGUUUCUCUGGCUGCAGAACUGGGUCAUGUACCACUCUGGCUUCCUUGGCUUUUGUUCAAAGCUUCCAUGGGGCAUGAAGAAUCCUGCUACGGAAGUCCAGGCCUCCCCUCCCCAAACCCUCACACACCCUCACCCCCAAUCCUCCACCCCCCACCCUACCCCCACCUCACCCCUCCUAGUACUGCCUUUGCUGGGCUCUUACUUUCCAUCCCUUGGUCUAGUCCGGCCACACUUCCUGAUCUGUCAUGGAGGCGGGACCUAAGGGCACUGUGUCUGAUUUCUGAGCUAUCUUCCCAAAGCCCAGCCCACAUCAGGGUAUUCCCCAGCCUAUGGACUGCCCACACCCCCCAACCCCAUUGCCUACGAGACAAAUUGUGAAGCAUUUCAAGCCCAAGGAAACGAGAUCCCUCCCGUAACUGUAACUUUUCUGUCCUCGUUUCUGGUCAUCCUUCACAAGCCUGUGGUCCAGCCAAAGAAAGGCCACUGCAUUCUGCAAGUCCAAACCUUUGUUUCUCAUGGCCCCUCUACUGGUAUCAGUCCCAGUUCUCUGCUGAGAAAUCAACUGUCCAUCCUCAAGGUCACUGACAUUUUUAUACAGAAUGUGACACUUCCUUCCCUGGGCUCUGUUGAAAACACCUUGACCACAGCACACAUCAGUGGCUCAUGCCUCAUUGCACUCCUGGGCUCCUGAAAUCCUUGAGAAGCUCCGUCUUUGAACCUGUCUCCAGUAUGGAGAAGCAUGGAGCCACUCAACAAAUAGUUGGCUUAUUGCUUUCCUCGCCUAAAUUCUCCACUUAUCAAUGGAAAAGCCCCCUCCCCGCCCCCACCCCGACUUCACCAAAACCUAUUUUAAACUACAGAUCCACAUGCAGCAUCUCGUGCUGUAUGACUUGGGAACUGGAGUACUAGAAGUCCCGCCUGGACAGUCUUUUUGGAGGAUGCUUUCUCCAAGGUCACACACCCCAAGAACAGCUACUCUGAGGUUUUGGGAACACAUGAGUCUCCCAACUGGAUAAAGUGCUUGGUUCAUACUCGGAUGUUUCUGGAAGCUCAGGAAAUGGGUCAAGGGAAGGGGGUAGGGGUUUGAGUCUCCGGUUUGUUUUCUACCCUGUGGUUAGAUGGCUUGAGUACAUUUUCUUGUACUCCCAAAGAGCAUGGGUUAAAGAAGAUCUUGUUUUUAUUUUUCAUCUGUUAAAAUGUAUUGCUUUUAUGAUAACCAGGGACAGGAUGCUGCAAGGCCAGCAGAAUCUCUCAGAAGCCUGACACAUUUCAAAGGUAGCCAUGCAAGAGAGGAAGAAACGUGAAACGGUGUGCGGGUAAACGGGCAGUGCACACACACAUGAGCAUGUCCUUGGACCAGUGUUUACUGAGUCACCGUUUUUGUGCCAGGUUUGUACAGUGUGUGCGUGCUUCAGGGUAUGUAGUGCUUUCAUGCGCAAUCUGCGUGUUACGAGAAGAAGCUUUCACCACACUUCCACUACCCUUCGUAUUUUCCAGACACUACAGGGAAGGGCAGAUGUUUUCUCUAGAAGCUAAUUUACUCGUUGAGUGGAAGGCUCCAUUUUAAUUGAUUCUAUCUUUCAAGAGGCAAGGAACUUGUAAUCUCAGCUCAGUUGUCAAUACUUUGCAGGCCUUUCCCUCCAGUCUUUAGCAUGCAGAUAGGGCAAGCAGGGAGCUGCUGUCACAGGCUAAGGAUGAAAAGGAAGAGCAACUCAGGAUAAUAAUCCGCUUUUGAUUUUUUUCCCCUUCCUUCCCUACACCCUCUCUCAAAUCCACUAAAACGAGGGGAAAUCCAUAGCGAUUAGAAAAACUUCUGACCAAGACAUCUUUCUCCGUUUCCUUUCAUUUCCUCUCAGCCCUCUUUAGUAUUCAGAAGCUGUCCUAAUAGCAGAGGCUUCCAUGGGGCUUGGCUGUGCCUAGCAUCCCAACCACAGAGUGGGAUGCUUGCUGGAGACCUUGAAGGCCCUCUCAGGCUGAUGCCUGGUGGAGUCUGUCACCCCAUCUGGCAGUCUGACAGCAAGUUACAGGGGUCACCGUGGUGCAGUCCAGGAGCUUCUACCAAGAUAGGAAAAGUAUGGGAGUCCUCUGACUACCUCAGCUGAUCGGAGGACUCUUUCUGUGGUCCAUCUGAGUACUGCUGAACAUCUCAGCAGGGCCUAGAAUGGAAAGAAAGAAAGAAAAAAGACUGGCAUGGUGCCAAAGAGACACAGUGAUGGGAACUUGGGAAUGUGUAAAAAAUGCUCUGGUAUUUCUGGGCCUCAUCAGGCUUCACUGCGAUGAAGGACUGUCUUAGUCACUGUUCUGUUGCUGUGAAGAGACACCAUGACCAUGGCAACUCUUAUAAGGGAAAGCAUUUAAUAGAAGUUUACUCACAGUUUCAGAGGUGUAGUGCAUUGUCCUCGUGGUGGGAAGCUUGGCGGCAUGGUGCUGGAGAGGUAGCUGGGGGUUCUACAUCCGCAUCCGCAGGCAGCAGGAAGAGAGAGACUCUGGGCUUGGCACGGACUUUUGAAACUUCAAAGCCUGCCCCCAGUGACACACUCCAACAAAGCCAUACUUCCUAAUCCUUUCAAAUACUGCCAGUCCCAGUGACCAGGCAUUGUAAGCUAUGAGCCUGUGGGGGGCUUUUCCCAUUCAAUCUACCACAGGGGUGUACUAAGUCAGGAACACUCAAUGUCAUCUUUCACAGUCACUUGCCGGGCCUUUCUUUUCCCACAGCAGAAAUCACACAUUUGGAUGCAGGGCAAUAUGCAUCUCUGACCAGCAGUCUCCGCUCCUCCAGAAGUGGGCUUAGACUUUGUGUAACAGUCUGAACAGGGAGUCCAUGGGCUGGUACACAAAAAGCAAGGUUAAGAUUGUAUAAGGGAUGCUGGGGGAAGAGCAUUCCAUGUUUGACCAAGUCAUUGUCAUGGAUUAGGACAGGUUGUGCAUCCAUACGUGCCACUGGCAAAGGAAAGGACCCAUCUUAAUUGAUUCUAUCUUUCAAGAUCCAAGCAUCCUGUAAUCUCAGUUCAACACUACCUGUCUGCUACAAGUUUUGCUCCAGCCCGGUUCCCUGAGUUCCACAGGUGCCAGGAAGGGGGAGGGAAUAUCUAGUAGGAAAAUGAAGAAGAUUGUAAACCUGAGGCAGCUGGGCUGCAGCAUAGCCCAGACAGGGCAUUUGGCCCCUUGACCUCUGACCCAGGGAAUGGCUAAGCAGAGGCAGUGGGAGGGAGAGAGGCAACAGAGGGUGAUAACAAUGCCCUCACCUUGCCCAGGUACUCUUGUUGCCGGAAGCUGUUAGGACCAGUUUAGUGAACAAAGACUAGUAGCCAUAAGAAAUCACAAUGUCAAGGAGAAGAGGGCUGGUAGGUCUGAAUGAGCUACCUGUCCCUGACAUCAGCUCUCCUGCAAAGAUCACCUGGAAACCGACAGACAGCAUUUUCUCCCAAUUUUUCUCCAGGCAGUUUUUGGGACUCCUCCUGGUCUGCAGUGUGGGAGGGCCCCUCUACCCACUGUCCAUUCUGAGUCUCUGUCUCUGUCACUGAUAAAGCAGGAGUUGCUGGGUAGGACAGCCCCCUUGUGCUGUCUGCCAUUCUCACUUAGUCUGGACAUCAGAAUAUUAGACCCAGGGCCACCAGCAACCUAGAGAACAGUCAGAGACCACCCAGUGAACAGGAACAGUGUGGGACAGCAGGGGGAUUUAUCUACCAACCCUUACAAAGCUUUUUAGGACUCUGAAAGCUCUUCCCUAAUCUGUUAAGAAAAGGGUCACACCUCUCUGGGGCAAGAAUACCUCCUUUUUCCUUUGCUCUAAGGGCAUGGCUCCCAUUAGUCCUUUCUGGCCUUUCCUACCAUAUCAUACAAGCACAUACCACACACACACACACACACACACACACACACACACACACACACACACACACGGGUGGGGGGGAGAGAGAGAGAGAGAGAGAGUAAUAGUGAACACCCAUACUAUAGAGAAGUGAAUCACUGUAUUAACCUCACCCUCAACAACAGAGAAGCCCCUACAAGAGCCACAGUAGUAAUGAGGAGGUGUGGCAGGUGCCAGAGACCCUACCAAGAUCAGCACACAGCAGUCAACUGAAAACAACUACAGAGGCCAGGGUGAGCAUGGGGUGGGGUGGGGUGUUGUAUUUGCUUAGAACAGUAUGGAUUUUAGUGGGGUUAAAUUACUUUUUCUCUGUAAUUCUUCUUCCACAUCACCUGACAUUCCUGCCUUCAGGUAAAUCCUUCUCUGAGGCUGGUUUCUGGAAGGGAGCCAACAGACACAGAAGAGCAGUCCGUGGAAUGUGUGAAGUCAAACACACCCUAAUUGCAAAUGGACAAGCACAAUAAUGACCAGAGCUAAUGGGCAUUUAGGCUUCCUGCGUGCAUGGAAAUCCUCUUUAGUUUAGAUUCCAAUCGUCGUUUUUCAUUGAACAAAUAUUUUUUGAGCACUUAAUGAAUGUCUUGCACUACGAUGGGUAGGCAAAGGAGGCUUCCUGAACCUUGGUAUAAGCAGAACAGUGAGAGGCUAAUUCGUUUUAAAGACUGCUCUGCUCUUUCUGUAGUAUAGGGAGUGGCCAAAGGAAAGUGGUUUGUUUGUUUGUUUGUUUGUUUGUUUGUUUGUUUGUUUGUUUUCUGGAAAACCAGGUGAAUAGACUCAGCCAGGUGAGAGAUGACAGUGGCUUUAACUAAG